rnacentral:rRNA from 1 species
UACGAAGGGGGCUAGCGUUGUUCGGAAUUACUGGGCGUAAAGCGCGCGCAGGCGGUCUUCCAAGUCAGUGGUGAAAGCCCGGAGCUCAACUCCGGAACUGCCAUUGAAACUGUAAGACUUGAGGAUGAGAGAGGUGAGUGGAAUUCCCAGUGUAGAGGUGAAAUUCGUAGAUAUUGGGAAGAACACCGGUGGCGAAGGCGGCGACCUGGUCCGAUACUGACGCUGAGGCACGAAAGCGUGGGGAGCAAACAGG